rnacentral:lncRNA from 1 species
GAGUGAAGGGAUCGAUGAUUUUCAUCAUGUUCCAUAUCAUAUCAUGGUAAAUGGAAAAAACUUUAGAACAACGCGAUCCAACUCUGCUCCCUGCACCCCAUUUUUUAAUUCUUUUUUAUUUUUGGUCGAAGCUGAUUUUUAACACACAGAAGAACUUUAUAUAUAACAUGACAAGAAAUAGAUAUGAGAAACUAUGUCCUACCAAUGGGUUAUACUAUAUAUGCAGCCAUGUAUCAUCCUUCA